AUGAAUAACAAAUGUGUUGGAGGAGACGAGGGAAGAUCUAACAAAGUUGCGGAAUCAAAGCACUAACUUGCAUUCAGUGUAAUAAUUAGAUUGCAGGUAAAGCAAAAGGAUUGUAGAUUCAAGGUUGCCGCGAAAUAUGGAUUCUAUUGUGUUGCCUGUAAUAUGUGUGUGGAAUGUAUGACAUGUGACUUCAAGAACUUGUAGUAUUGAU